GAGAGAGAAGGAGAGAGAGAGACGGGGGAGAGAGAGAUAGAAAGAGGCAGAGAUGGAAAGAGAGAGAGAGACGGAGAGAGAAAGAGCGAGCUUUUAUUGAUAAAGUAACGUUAGCCUGCUGGAGUGGAUGGACCAAAAACACACACGGUGUGUGCAGACCAACACAACACACACACUCUCUCCCUUUCUCACACACUCCGUCUCUCUUCCCUACAGAGUUAAGUCUGCUUAGCAACAACAGAACCACGGCUAGCAGACACAGGGAAUGUAACAGGAGAUCUGGGAUCAGAGAUUACGGCCAGUGGAACAGGAACAUCACCUAUUACGACUGGUUUCAGAUACACAAUAACAAAAACCAGGACUGGGACAACAACUGUACUGAGAUCAGGAGACAACAGGCUCGGUUCAGUGUCCAGAACUCCUUCAUGCAGGGAAGAAGAGGAGGAGGAGGAGGAAGAGAGCCCUCUGAGCCAAGUCCUCCCAGCCAGGUGCCAAGUCCUCCCAGCUAGGUGCCAAGUCAUCCCAGCCAGAUGCCAAGUCAUCCCAGCUAGGUGCCAAGUCAUCCCAGCCAGAUGCCAAGUCAUCCCAGCCAGGUGCCAAGUCCUCCCAGCCAGAUGCCAAGUCAUCCCAGCCAGAUGCCAAGUCAUCCCAGCCAGAUGCCAAGUCAUCCCAGCCAGGUCAGGAAGUGGAAGAUGCUUAACCGUCACCACGGCGAUACCAAGCAGAAGGAGUCGGAGUCAGAGGUGCACAGGGGGGAGGGCUAACCCUGUCAUGAUGGAGUGUUGUGUCUGCAAUGGACCCUUCAUUGGCUACAGUCUGGAAGAGGCCUGGCAGCCACGGCAACACACUCAGGUACUGGGCUAGCUGCUAACGGCUAAAUGCUAACUUUACCUUAAUAACACACAAAGGUGGGCUAGCCGCUAACCGCUAACCGCUAACUUUACCUUGAUAUUGCGCACAGGUGGGCUAGCCGCUAACUGCUAACUGUACAUUAAUAACGCACACAGGUGGGCUAGCCGUUAACCGCUAAAUUUACCUUGAUAACGUACACAGGUGGGCUAGCCGUAAUUGCUAAACACUAACUUUAUAACAGCUAACUAUACCUUUAACGCGCACAGGUGGGUUAGCCGCUACAUGCUACUGCCUAUGUAAAAUGGAGAGAGUGAUUUAACACCUUACAUAGACAUACAACAGGAGAACACGUUCGCUCUUCAGAUAAAUCCAUUAUACAUUAAAAAGUCCUAGUUUCGGCCUCGCCAUUGUAUACAGCAGAUCCUGCUGUUCCCUCAGCUAACUCAGUCAACAAACACACUGCAGACAGAUAGAGGAGAGGUGGGGAGAGAGACAGCGGCAGAGGGCAUAGAGACUUGUGACGUGGUGAGGUUGGACCCAGGUGCAGAGAAGAGACCAGACGAGGAGUUAAGGACAAACAUAACACGUCAUUGAGAAAACGGUAGCCGCAGGAUCACAGUACGUGAAAAACAUUCAUAACCAUUACCUUAACCAUUCAUAACCCUUACCUUAACCAUUCAUAACCCAAUGCCAAACAUUAAUCCUUAACUUCAAAAUGUUGUCACAAAGGACCUAUGAACCAAUAAAAUAAAGUACUAGUGCCCAGAUUCAUCUUCCUUGAACUUUGGUCAAACACACACACACACACACACACACACACACACACACACACACACACACACACACACACACACAUGUACGUUUCCUAGGCGAUGGAUCUGUAACUACCAUAGUGAUUCAGAGUACUACUGAUGUCCCAACAACUCUAGUAAGUACACCUUACCUCCCCCAACAUAAUAAUGCUGUUCACAUAAGUAAUGACUGUUUGUAGCUUUGCAGAGAGCAGCUGCCUCGCCCUCCUGUGGUUAAAACACACACACACACACACACACACACACACACACACACACACACACACACACACACACACACACACACACACACACACACACACACACACACACACACACACCUGGACCAUUGAUUAUACACCAACAUACAACUCCUGCCAUGCUUCUCCUUUUCACUUUCUCAUGAGUCAUCUCUUAUGUGUUUGUGUCUAUAAAUGACUGAGAGAUUGGGUUCAAACUCCAGUGUUACCAUCAGAUCAGAUAUAUAUGGGAUAUCAGCCUGUCCCCGUUAGACCAGGGCCCGUAGAUCAGAUAUAUAUGGGAUAUCAGCCUGUCCCCAUUAGACCA